CUGUCAGGACACAGCUUCACUGAUGCUCACACUGGUCUGCGGGUUUAAGUAGCAGAGUUUGGGUUGUGUUUGUUUAUUUUUGGUGGUGGGGGAAAAUGCAUUUUUGUUCAGAAAAGGACAGAGGGGUUGUGGGGUUUGUCAGCAAAUGGGGGAAAAGAGGAAGUUGGUGUGUGGGAACAGCAGUGAGGGGAAGGGCAGGGGAGCUGACUUCCCCCUUUUGGUAAUGAGAGGGGAAACGUUGGAGAUUUUGUGAGCUCGAUGGGGUGUUUAAAAGCUGGAUGGAGGCUUUUGGGACCAGAUGGAGAUUUGGGGUGUGCUUGGAGAUUUUGGAGCACCACACAGCAUCGCCGAGUGGCAUUCCGUUCAGCAGUGAAUUGGCUCUGCAGGGCUGUCCGUGGUUCCUGCCAGGAUGUCAGCCUUCCAUCAGCAGGGUGUUGAAUGCAGUGCCUCUCCUUCUGGGCUGUCAGCAGUGCUGCUCCCAACACAGCACACACUGGGUGGUUCUGAGCCCAACCAGUUCUCAGGAGGGAAGGGCAGCCACUGCACCUUUUCAGCUCCUCGGGAACAGGGGAGCUGAAACACCGGCAUUUCCCAGGCAGCCAGGUCUUGUCCCUGCUCGGACCUCUCUGGCAUGGAGCCUUCCUGGGGUAGAGCUGGGAGGUCACAACCAGACCUUCCCACACUGAGGGGAUCUGACAGCUGCACCACCUGAGUGUCACGUCCUGUGCAUGGAGGGAGGGAGGGACUACAAGGACUGCGGUGCUGUCACACAGCAGCAGCUCAGCACCACACAGCUUGUAUUCCCACUGACCCCUCCCAGUGGGUCUGGGGAGAGAACCAGAGAAAAUGAGGAGGAAUUUGACGGUGCAGAUAAAAGCUACUUUCUGAGUUCAAAAAGGAAGCGGGAAAGUAAUGAUAAUCAGAUAGAUGUAUAUCUAUUCUNNNNNNNNNNNNNNNNNNNNNAGCAAGUGAUGCACAAAGGAGUUGCUCAACACCAAAGACCAAGGAUACAGCCAGGGCAGAAAGGGA
rnacentral:lncRNA from 1 species